AAUGCCUUACGCCGCAAAACUAGUGCCUGGCUUGAUCGAGAAGAUAGAAAAGAUUUUUCUCUUUUCUUCGCUUUGCCAAUACUUCUCAGCUUACUGAAAAAUACGAUUCGAUCAUGGCUGGUGGAAAUAUAUUUGGUAGAGCUAUGUCUUACGUUCUCAAUGAGCUCGUUGUUGACAAACUUGCCAACAGUCACGCAUUCCAGAGGUUUGCUGUGAGAACAUCAAAGAAUAUCGAUGAAAUGAUAAAGAAGGCUGCUUUGAAGCAGCGAGAUGUCACCGAGCAGGUGAAGGAAUUCUCUAAGAAUUUUGAGUCAUUCAAAAAUCAGUAAUGUGCAGUGAUGGAGUUGGUAUUGUGCCCAUAUAUGUAUAUGAUUGCCCUAGAUUCUUGUUCCUUCUUUGAGAGUGACGAAAAUGAGCUAGUUAUUUUAGGAUGUUGGCAUGUAAGAUUGUCUCAAGGAAAAUCUUUUGUACCUAAAAUAAAUUUGCCAUUUUAAAGGUAGCUAUUUUUGUCUUGAUUAAAAAGUUACCUAAAAAGUAGCUAGUAUUGCUCCACAGAAUCAUUUCUUCUCUGGGGAAAUUGAUAUGUCAAGUAAAUCCUUUUUACUCAAGGCUUUAUGUUGAAAUAAAUUUCUGAUUCUGCUAGUUGCUUUUUUUUUU